CUGUCCUGCAAUGCAUUGCUGAAUAAAUCAGUUUUUCUUUACUCUUUGGACUAACACGUGAGCCUCCACGCUUGGACCCUUAAUUGGCUAAUUUUCCCCCUACAAUUUUGGUGUGAAAAGUGGGAUGCAUGGAACUCUGGCUGAUCGGUGCAUGGGCUGGGGAAUCUAGGACCCCUGGAAGGUGCCAUAAAGAGGGUCUCCACUGAAGAAGCCAGCUGUUACAUAUUUAUCAUCCCAUUAUGUGGCUUUAAUCUUAUCAAAUCGACUCGCAGAAAUGUUUGGUGGUGAACCUACAGAUCAAUAGAUGAACAUCCUAACAGUGUAAAUUUAGCACAGACAGAUUAGAAUAUAUUUAUUUCCUGCUGUGAAGGUAUGAAAAAUAUUCCAAGGAAAAGCACUAUCCCUGGAGAAUACAAUCAGCGAGCCAGCUCUGAGGAACAGCAGAAGAAUGUUGCAAUACAAACGAGAAUCAGAUGCAAGUAUUUCCCCAUAAUCCAACCCUACCACUGCUGACUAUCUGUCAGCUUUGCUUUC